AACGUUGAGGACCCCAGUCUGUCCAAGCUGCUCUCAAGGCCUCUAGAAAUCCUGAUGCAAAUCAGAGGGGACCUGAGGGGCUGCACCAGAGAAACUCAUUCUCAUCGACACUCCAGGAGGCUGAACAAUUGGCUCCAAAAUUUCCAUGAGAGCAAAGAGACGGAAACACCUGGCUGCCUGGAAGCAUCUGUGAUCCUCAAUCUCUUCCGACUGCUGAACGAAGACUUGAGAUGCGCAGCCUACAGGGAGCUCUGUGUGUAGCCAUCUGGUCUCUGCAGUGCCCGUGUCCACAUCUACUUAGAGACCGGAGAGUCCCUAGCCUGAGAGCACUGCAUACAUAUUGGGAGAAGACAUGUGUCAACCAGGAACAUUCAUCUUCUCCCUCUGGCUUCUAAUCAUAGAUCCCCAAGCAAACUGAUUCCAUCCUUUUAUACCAAAGAAUUACACAACAAUUGGCCUCCAGGUUGCUCCAACUUCCAGCUGGUGCAGCACUCUAGACUCCUUACAGAAGAUUAAUUGUAGGACCAUUUUUCAUCACAGUUGGAAUUUAGGACUUCAAUAGGAUUUGGCCCUCUGGGGAUAUUAUUUAUUGAAUGUAAUUGUAUUGUCACUAUAUGAAUGCAUUUUAGCCAAGGUAACAUAUCCAAAAAUAUUGGAAACAUUUCAUAAGCUUUGAUUUAAAACAACAAAACAACGCACUCCAGUUCUAGGAUUUACACACUAGUCACAGCUUCAGAUCUCUUAGAAACAACCUCAGGAAAUGCAUUCUUACUGUAAAUAUCCUCGGCAGAUGUAUUUAUACAGAGCAUAUUUUUAUCUUGCUGCUUCUUUAUGUAUUAUAACCUGACUAAGAAGGGUAAUUGAUUUGUAUAACUUCCAGACUUGAACCAAAGUGUUCUUUAUUAUGGAUCAGCUAUUUAUUAUUUAUGUAUUUAUCUAUUACUAAGAUUAUGCCUUUUUAUUUAUAAUUGUGAACCAAUAAAAUUGUUUUCCCAGG